GAUGAACGCUGGCGGCGUGCCUAAUACAUGCAAGUCGAGCGAACAGACGAGGAGCUUGCUCCUUUGACGUUAGCGGCGGACGGGUGAGUAACACGUAGGUAACCUACCUAUAAGACUGGGAUAACUUCGGGAAACCGGAGCUAAUACCGGAUAAUAUUUCGAACCGCAUGGUUCGAUAGUGAAAGAUGGCUUUGCUAUCACUUAUAGAUGGACCUGCGCCGUAUUAGCUAGUUGGUAAGGUAACGGCUUACCAAGGCAACGAUACGUAGCCGACCUGAGAGGGGACCCGGCCACCUGGGACCGGGAAACCGUCCCCGACCCCCGGGGGGGGCAGCGGUUGGGAACUUUCCGAAGGGGGGGAAAGCCUACAGGGGCACCCCCGGGGGAGAGCUGAAGUGUUGGGGAUGGUAAACCUCUUUUAUUAGGGAAGAAAAAAGGUGUAGAUAAUGUGCCCGCUUGGGGCGGUCCCAAUGCAAAAAGCCGCGCUAAACCCAGG
rnacentral:rRNA from 1 species